GAAACCGUUCAGGGGUAAACCUGAGAAACCCAAAAGUUCGAACGGGGAGAUUCAUCGUCGACGACGCUGGCUCCCGUUGGUGCGCGAAACCCCGCAAGGGGUGUCCGUUGCUUUUCCGCAAGGAGGGUACGGGCGUACGGCCAGCGGCGAACGUUCCGGCUAUGUAGACGUGCACUUCUCCUCUAGUAGGACGUCGCGACCCGUUGCGUGUCGGUCUACGGGCUGAGCGGUAGACCGUUGCGUCGCCUCGUGCGUACGCGACGGACCCUCGGUGGCCCGACCGGCUGCGCGACGGUAUCGUAGACGGUAUAGGGCCGCAACCAGUCUUAUUAUCGAACGUGCGUCAGGCCCGCCGCAAGCUCGAUCAGUUGCCCUGUGGUACGGAUGAUAUUCCCGUUCACGGGCCUGGUCAGCUGUUAGCAGGAGGUGCCCUCGGACUGGCCAAGCUUUGAAAUACCGGUCGGCGACGCUAUUGCUUUGGGUACUCUCAGGACCCGUCUUGAAACACGGACCAAGGAGCCUAACAUGUACGCGAGUCAUUGGGAUGUACAAACCUAAAGGCGAAAUGAAAGUGAAGGUCGUCCUUUGCGUCGACCGAGGGAGGAUGGGCGCUGCAAAGUGCUCCGCACUCUCGGGGCGUCUCGUUCUCAUUGCGAGAAGAGGCGCACCUAGAGCGUACACGUUGGGACCCGAAAGGGGG
rnacentral:rRNA from 1 species